UACGUAGGGGGCUAGCGUUGUCCGGAUUUAUUGGGCGUAAAGAGCGUGUAGGCGGCCAUGUAGGUCCGGUGUGAAAACUCGAGGCUUAACCUCGAGAUGUCAUCGGAAACCAUUUGGCUAGAGUCCGGAAGAGGAGAGUGGAAUUCCUGGUGUAGCGGUGAAAUGCGCAGAUAUCAGGAGGAACACCAAUAGCGAAGGCAGCUCGCUGGGACGGUACUGACGCUAAGGCGCGAAAGCGUGGGGAGCGAACAGG
rnacentral:rRNA from 1 species